rnacentral:rRNA from 1 species
CAAGCCUAAAUACUCCUUGGUGACCGAUAGUGGAUGAGUACCGUGAGGGAAGGGUGAAAAGUACCCCGGGAGGGGAGUGAAAGAGUUCCUGAAACCGGUCGCAUGCAAGCCGUCAGAGCCUGUGUGGUGAUGGCGUGCCUUUUGAAGAAUGAGCCUGCGAGUUAGUGAUGCGUGGCGAGGUUAACCCGUGG